rnacentral:rRNA from 1 species
UACGUAGGGUGCAAGCGUUAUCCGGAAUUAUUGGGCGUAAAGAGCUCGUAGGCGGUUUGUCGCGUCUGCUGUGAAAACUGGAGGCUCAACCUCCAGCCUGCAGUGGGUACGGGCAAACUAGAGUGCGGUAGGGGAGAUUGGAAUUCCUGGUGUAGCGGUGGAAUGCGCAGAUAUCAGGAGGAACACCGAUGGCGAAGGCAGGUCUCUGGGCCGCAACUGACGCUGAGGAGCGAAAGCAUGGGGAGCGAACAGG